rnacentral:rRNA from 1 species
UACGUAGGUGGCAAGCGUUGUCCGGAAUUAUUGGGCGUAAAGCGCGCGCAGGCGGUCCUUUAAGUCUGAUGUGAAAGCCCACGGCUCAACCGUGGAGGGUCAUUGGAAACUGGGGGGACUUGAGUGCAGGAGAGAAGAGUGGAAUUCCACGUGUAGCGGGUGAAAUGCGUAGAGAUGUGGAGGAACACCAGUGGCGAAGGCGACUCUUUGGCCUGUAACUGACCGCUGAGGCGCGAAAGCGUGGGGAGCAAACAGG